CUCGUCUGAUGAGCUUGUUGUGCUGUAGUGGUCGCCCCAUUCGCUGCAUUGAACCUCUUCUCUCUCAGUUUCCUCUCCGUCGUCAUCAAGGUGAUGGUGCUGGUGCUGGUGCAGGCGCUCGGAGUGCUUGUCGCCGUUGGUAGGUCGCCGAAAGAAUUCAGAAUCUGGAGGCUCGGAGUGCUUGACGUCGUUGGUAUGUCGCCGGAAGAACUCAGAUUCUGGAGGCUCGGAGUGCUUGUCGCCGUUGGUAGGUCGCCGAAAGAACUCAGAAUCUGGAGGCUCGGAGUGCUUGACGUUGUUGGUAUGUCGCCGGAAGAACUCAGAUUCUGGAGGCUCGGAGUGCUUGUCGUCGUCGGUAUGUGGCCGAAAGAACUCAGAGUCUGGAG
rnacentral:lncRNA from 1 species